rnacentral:rRNA from 1 species
GUCCUAGCCGUAAACGAUGAGUACUAGGUGUGGGGAUUAACAUCUCCGUGCCGACGCCAACGCAUUAAGUACUCCGCCUGGGGACUACGGCCGCAAGGUUAAAACUCAAAGGAAUUGACGGGGGCCCGCACAAGCGGUGGAGCAUGUGGUUCAAUUCGAUGCAACGCGAGGAACCUUACCUGGGCUUGACAUCCCGUGCAAUCCGUAGAAAUACGGGUUUCGCCGCAAGGCAACGCGGAGACAGGUGGUGCAUGGCUGUCGU